UUUCAGCAAAUAUCUCCAAGCUUGUUGCAUUUCGUCUUAUUUGAAUUUUUUUUAUGGUUAGCAUUUUGGUUGUUAUUAGAUAAUAAAACAUGAACAAUACUUUAAUACUUUAUGCAUGACUACGUUUUAAAUAUUUUUUAAAAAAAUUAAAUAAGACGAACAAUCAAAGUUGAACAUGAAAAUUCAUGAUUGCGUUUAAA
rnacentral:pre_miRNA from 1 species